UGCAGUCGACGGCAGCACAGUAAGAGCUUGCUCUUAUGGGUGGCGAGUGGCGGACGGGUGAGGAAUACAUCGGAAUCUACCUUUUCGUGGGGGAUAACGUAGGGAAACUUACGCUAAUACCGCAUACGACCUUCGGGUGAAAGCAGGGGACCUUCGGGCCUUGCGCGGAUAGAUGAGCCGAUGUCGGAUUAGCUAGUUGGCGGGGUAAAGGCCCACCAAGGCGACGAUCCGUAGCUGGUCUGAGAGGAUGAUCAGCCACACUGGAACUGAGACACGGUCCAGACUCCUACGGGAGGCAGCAGUGGGGAAUAUUGGACAAUGGGCGCAAGCCUGAUCCAGCCAUACCGCGUGGGUGAAGAAGGCCUUCGGGUUGUAAAGCCCUUUUGUUGGGAAAGAAAAGCAGUCGAUUAAUACUCGGUUGUUCUGACGGUACCCAAAGAAUAAGCACCGGCUAACUUCGUGCCAGCAGCCGCGGUAAUACGAAGGGUGCAAGCGUUACUCGGAAUUACUGGGCGUAAAGCGUGCGUAGGUGGUUGUUUAAGUCUGUUGUGAAAGCCCUGGGCUCAACCUGGGAAUUGCAGUGGAUACUGGGCGACUAGAGUGUGGUAGAGGGUAGUGGAAUUCCCGGUGUAGCAGUGAAAUGCGUAGAGAUCGGGAGGAACAUCCAUGGCGAAGGCAGCUACCUGGACCAACACUGACACUGAGGC
rnacentral:rRNA from 1 species